AAUAGAUACCCCGGUAGUCCACGCCGUAAACGAUGAGUGCUAAGUGUUAGAGGGUUUCCGCCCUUUAGUGCUGCAGCUAACGCAUUAAGCACUCCGCCUGGGGAGUACGGCCGCAAGGCUGAAACUCAAAGGAAUUGACGGGGGGCCCGCACAAGCGGUGGAGCAUGUGGUUUAAUUCGAAGCAACGCGAAGAACCUUACCAGGUCUUGACAUCCUCUGCCAACCCUAGAGAUAGGGCGUUCCCCUUCGGGGGACAGAGUGACAGGUGGUGCAUGGUUGUCGUCAGCUCGUGUCGUGAGAUGUUGGGUUAAGUCCCGCAACGAGCGCAACCCUUGAUCUUAGUUGCCAGCAUUCAGUUGGGCACUCUAAGGUGACUGCCGGUGACAAACCGGAGGAAGGUGGGGAUGACGUCAAAUCAUCAUGCCCCUUAUGACCUGGGCUACACACGUGCUACAAUGGAUGGUACAAAGAGCUGCGAACCCGCGAGGGUAAGCGAAUCUCAUAAAGCCAUUCUCAGUUCGGA
rnacentral:rRNA from 1 species